GGGGAGGUGGCUGAGUGGUCAAAAGCAGCAGACUGUAAAUCUGCCGGCGAUGCCUACGUAGGUUCGAAUCCUGCCCUCCCCA
rnacentral:tRNA from 1 species